UCCGUUCCAUACUUACUGAUGAUCUCUUUAAUCCCCGGAGCAAUAGCCUAUUUCCUUGUUGGCUUUCAGAGAACCUUUGAUCACUUCGCCUAUUUCGCAUUGGCUCUGUUUGUGACUCUGAUGUUAGUUGAGAGCCUGAUGAUGAUUGUAGCAAGCAUUGUGCCAGAUUUCCUGAUGGGUGUUAUCACAGGUUCUGGAAUUCUUGGAGUGAUGUUGUUGAAUGGAGGUUUCUUCCGAAAACCUAACGAUAUGCCAAAGCCCUUCUGGAGAUACCCAAUGUACUAUAUUGGAUUCCACAAGUAUGUGAAUCAAGGAUUCUACAAGAAUGAGUUUGAAGGACUAACAUUCCCCAAUAAUCAAGUAGGAGGGCCACCCACCAUUACUGGUGAAGAAAUAUUGAAGAGUAUGUGGCAAAUGGAGAUGGGUCACUCUAAAUGGGUAGAUUUUGCCAUUUUGUUUGGAAUGGUAAUUGUUUACAGGCUCAUGUUCUUUGGGAUCAUCAAGACAAAUGAAAAGCUCUCGCCAAUCAUCAAAGCUUUUCUUAAGAGGAAGUAAUGAACUAUACAUAGGUUGUAUGUGCAACUGUAGUAUGUUAGAUAUAUUGACAGGCAGGCCUUCUCGGCUGCGGACGUCCGCACUGAAGGUUUCGGUGCGGAUUUCCAUUUUGUACCACUUUCUGAUCGAAUUUCCUCAAACUUCCUUCUAGAUAUAUCUAGAUCAUCUUGUGUAGAUCAUCUCUGCAAAAUUUCAGCCAAUUUGGUGAUUGUUAAGGCUCUCAAAAUCGAAAACAAAUGGAGAUGAUGAACCGGACAUAAUUCAGUCCGUCAGAUUUGUUUUUCGAUUUUGAAGGCCUUAACGAUCACCAAAUUGGCUGAAAUUUUAGAGAGAUGAUCUAGAUAUGUCUAGAAUGAAGUUUGAGGAAAUUCGAUUAGAAAGUGGUGCAAAAAUAGAAAUCCGCACCAAAACUCAGGUGCGGACGUCAGNNNNNNNNNNNNNNNNNNNNUCCGUCAGAUUUGUUUUUCGAUUUUGAGGGCCUUAACGAUCACCAAAUUGGCUGAAAUUUUGCAGAGAUGAUCUACACAAGAUGAUCUAGAUAUGUCUAGAAAGAAGUUUGAGGAAAUUCGAUCGGGAAGUGGUGCAAAAAUGGAAAUCCGCACCAAAACUUUGGUGCGGACGUCCGCACCUGAGAAAGGCUGUAUUGACAGGUCUGUAUAUUCAAGAAUGUUUAAAUGAGUUGGAGAACAAGGAAAUGUAUGUUUGCUGUGAAAAGUUUGAGUUACAAUAAUUUUGAUGCAGAUCGGUUUGUUUAACUACUACAUUAUCUGCGCAUACCAGUAGAGACAUAAUUAAGUACAUCGGAGCCUAGGAUUUUACGAACACCAACCAUGCACAUCUCUAGAUAAUUGAGCACUGCGGCUACUACUGACAAACAGAUUCAAUUGUUGAAGACUUGGUUAUGUUUCCCACCCCAGACCAUUUUGCAUGUUCUUGUGAAUCAAUAGCUUGUUGGAGGCAAUCACUUUCAAAGUGAACCUUGCCAUGCUGCAAUGAAAUAGUAAAAUUGCAGAGCAGCUUCCAAAGCUAGCAGUUCGACAUGAAAGAUUGAAGUAGCAGAGCCAAUUGCACGAGAUGUAGAUGCCCGGAAUGACCCUUUCUGACCCCUUGUUAUUCACCAAACACCAUAACUGUAUCAGGGAUCCACAUUUCAUCUUUGGUAAUUAGCUUCCGGCAAAGACCAGCUAUGCACCAACCUGGUAGGCUGCACCUGAGAUGCAUGCACCAAUCUAUACUCGUCAAACCAACCCAAAGUUGGUAAGGCUUCUUAUAACCUUUUCCUAUUUUAAUAUUUACAUAGAAUUUUUUUGUAAGAUAAUAAUUUAGAUCAGUGUGGCAUUAAUUUACGGAAACUCUAGCAAAAAUUUGACUUGAGUAUUAAAUAUAUUCAGGACCUGGAACAUGGCCUUGAUGGAAAACCAAGCAAUGAGGAAGCAAUUCAGAUUCUCAUAAAUUCAUACAAGUCUUCAGGUACUUCCAAGCAACUUGAGCUCAGAGUAACUGAAAUUUGCAACCAGGUCAGUUACUAGUUUUAUAAUGUAGGUACCAAGCAAAAGGUUUAAUGAUCAUCAUACUGUUUUUGUUGUCUGGUAGAAAGGCAGAGCUCUAAAGAAAGGAAACCAAGCCAGCUUCAUAACUCAAUGCCUAGUUUUGACAAGGAGAUCAUUCGUGAACAUGUAUCGCGAUCUAGGCUACUACUGGCUUCGUCUUGGAAUUUAUGUUGGCUUGUGCUUAUGUUUAGGGACUAUUUUUCAUGCAAUUGGCUCUACUUAUGACUCAAUACAGGUAAUUUUAUUAGGAAGGUAUCAAUCAGACGUGAUAUUACUAAUUUUCUACCAUGCUAGCUAGUUGUUCUUGCACUUACUUAAUCAGUAUAUAAGUUAAUAUAUUCAUAAUGAAUUUUUCAGGAUAGAGCAUUCAUGCUCGUGUUUGUCGCAUCAUUUUUAACUUUCAUGGCAAUAGGUGGAUUUCCUUCUAUUGUAGAAGACAUGAAGGUACGUAGUAUCCAUAUUGAUCACUAAAAACAUAUAUUCAACACUGUUGUUGAUGGCCUAAUCCUAGUUUUCUGAUGACCAACCAGAUCUUCCGGCGAGAAAGACUAAACGGGCACUACGGUGUUGCUGCAUUUGUUGUUGGAAACUCAUUUUCCUCCAUUCCAUACUUAUUGAUGAACUCUGUAAUUCCUGGAGCAAUAGUAUUUUUCCUUGUUGGCCUUCAGCAGACCUUUGACCACUUCGCCUAUUUUGCAUUGGUUCUGUUUGUUACUCUGCUGUUGGUUGAGAGCCUGAUGAUGAUUGUAGCAAGCAUUGUGCCAG
rnacentral:lncRNA from 1 species